CUUUAAUGUUACCUACAUUUCUGUGAAAAAUAUUUUUAGUACUUACCAGAAUUGUUUGCACUAUAAUGGAUUAUCUUUUUCCAUUUAAAAACACUAAAACAUUCUGUUUGUCUCAUUUGCAGUGCAAUUUGGAAAAUGCAGGAAGGAUAUUGCAACGUUCUCACAUGUGUCCUGUACUCAUUUUCCUGCAGAGUAUUGGAAAUCUGUUUCAAAAUCUGUUGCUUUGGCUGACCUUUGGGAAGGCUCCAUUGGUGUGUUCUGGUCCUUAUCAACAUGAAAACCAAAAAUAUUUUCAAAAGAAUAGGAAAACAGAUGAAGCAAUAGGCCUUCUGCUCUGGUGCAUUGUGGUGGAAAAGGCACAUAUAUUUGAAACUGGAGGCUAUCGUUGUAAAUAUGCCUGUAGGCAAUUAGUUGAGGGAAGAUACUGAUCUUCUUCAGAACAGCAAAGAAACAAGCAAAGGCAUUCCCAGGCAUGUUCUUUUUAAUUAAAUCUUGGCUCUCAGGAUUCCUACAGCAGAGGAAAUUUCUGCCUGCAUCCUUAGUAUUGGUGGAGCCAGCUGCAAUCAGAAGAAACAAUGCCAUAUUCUUGGUGCUAUUUCUUUUAUCUAUUUUAAUUGUGUCUGGUAAGAAAAGUCAUUAGAAACUGUUUUUCCAUUAAAGGCAAAAUGUUCAUCCAUACAGAAGGUGUUUCAUCAGGGUGAGGAACUGGUAUUGCAACUUGCAUGGAUGCUAUUAUAUUCCUCUGCCUACAUAAACAGCAAACACUGUGUCAACUGUAUAACUGUAUCUGUAUCUUCUAAUUGGCUUUUAUGACUUGAUUACAAUACUUCCCAGCCUUACACUGCCAUCUGAUGAAAAAAAAAAAAAAAAAGAAUCUUUGUAGCUGAUCCUGCUUAAUAUUUCAUGAAGAGAGAGUCUCAAGCCUGUAAGAAACAUUUGCAUAAGAAGCAAUAUUCAUAUAUUACUUUGAUGGCAAUCUCAACUUCAAUGAAAAAUUAUUUUAGCCUGAGCUAGAAGUGUUUUUAUAUCAGACAAGCUCAACAUCCAGCAGUCUGAGCAAGAAAACUGUUUCUGAGCUCUCCAGCAUACUACAAAAAUGAAUGCAGAUUAGUCUCCAAAGAAAUAUAAUAAUGAGACCAUUGCCCUAUACGAGCCUUCAUAACUUCAGGCAGAAAUUCUGCUCCUGCUAUAAUUUCCCUAUGAUCUUCUAAUAAGUCAGUAUUUUACUAUCGACUCUCAGAACUUAUCCUGCACUGCUCUCUCUCACCCAUGAGUGAAUGGAGAAUACCUGUGCAAUUAUUGCUAUUUAGAAUAGAAGCAUAUGAUUAAAAAAAAAAUCCAAAAUUCAAGAGCUUUUAGUUUUGUUCUAGUCAGAAGAGAUGGUGACAGCAUUUGCGGGUAAUUUUUUUAAUGCUGACUAUGGCAAAGUAGACAUGCCUGUAUGCUGGAUAUUUUUUAGUGAGUUGCUCCCUUUUACUCCUUUUUAUUCUGUUACUGUUGCUAUUAUAAUAUCUGAAAAGCUAAGGGGAAAAUACAGCAGAAUACUGGUUGUCAAGUUACAGCACCAAGCUAUAUUGAAUUUGUCAGAUAAAAUUGCAUGCUCAAUACUUGUCAAAAUACUCUGUCAGUAGUAGUAAGGAUAGAUCUGAUAGUUAAGUUUUUCCAGAUGACAGUGUUCCUUGAAGCCACUGCAAGAAAAUGUUCCCUUCAAAGUGACAGAGAAAAAUGAGAAGUGGGGAGAGGAAGAGAGAUGGGAAGGGAGAGGGAGCUAGAUAGCAACCUUAUUGCAUGUUUUAUGUCCUCCUAUUGCUUGAAAGAUUCCGUCAAGUGAGCAGCACUAGAGAUAGAUAUUCUUCCUGAAGCAACAAAAUGAGGUUCAAUCAAUGCUGGGGAAACCUCAUCUCAUCAAAGUUGAGAUUACCUCUAAACAUAGAUUUAUUCAUUUAUACACAUACACGUGCUCUCACUCGUACAGAAGUCACUGAUUUAGACUAAAUCUCCUCUGAGCCUGCUUAGGAAAAGACGUUCUACUAAGUUAGUGUCAAGUAUAAUCUCUGAUUAAUGCCAGUGCUGGUAUUCCAGGCUGUAAAAUAAGUAUGAAAAGUCCUCAAAGGAGGAUGUCAUCUUAUUUUAAUCUCCCUUUAAUCUCUCUUGCCCCAAGAAACUCUGUGUGUCCCCCCUUACUCUUCUGCUAUGGAACCCUGACUGUUUAUUCCAUACUGAAUCGCUUCAGCUCACAAAAUGAGCUUUUUCUGGGGAAAAGUGGACCACAGACACUGUGAACACAUUUUGAAAAGGGAGACUGAUACUAAGUGGUAUAAAUCACAAUGUUGCUAACUCCAGUCUUCUGAAAAUGUGACCUGAUAUGAGGUGAAUAUUUCUGAAAUUAUUUUUCCUCCUUAGUGUGUAAAAAAUUUAUUAUGACAACUGGAUUAAAAAAGAAGACUUUAAUUGGGCUACAUCUUAUAAUGAUAACUUGUAGAGCUUUUUGAAAACUCAAGGAAGAAACUUGUAUAUAGGAUCAUAAUCUAAAAAGUUUUAAUGAUACAGAGCAUAGUGUAAUGUUCAGCCAGAUACUGAAGCUGUUCUCCUCUGUGAUUCUUAAUGAAUACAGCCCUCAAAGCAUUUAAUGCCUUCAGCUGCCCUGAAAAAAGUGAUUCCAUUUUGUCCAGAAAUUAUUCUGUUUGAGAAAGUAUUGCUUCGAGCAAGCACCAGCAAACUCAAUGUUUAUGAGAAUUCCAUUGUUCAGGAACAAAACCUGUGGAUAUGGAUUUUUGGAAUUUUACUGUUAGAAAAAUAAAUUAAAGGAGAGGAACA
ensembl:lncRNA